GACGAACGCUGGCGGCGUGCUUAACACAUGCAAGUCGAACGGAAAGGCCCUGCUUUUGUGGGGUGCUCGAGUGGCGAACGGGUGAGUAACACGUGAGUAUCCCGCCCUUAACUUUGGGAUAACUUCAGGAAACUGGGGCUAAUACCGGAUAGGAGCUCCUGAUGCAUGUUGGGGGAUGGAAAGUUUCGGCGGUGGGGGAUGGACUCGCGGCUUAUCCGCUUGUUGGUGGGGUAGUGGAUUACCAAGGGUUUGACGGGUAGCCGGCCUGAGAGGGUGACCGGCCACAUUGGGACUGAGAGACGGACCAGACGCCUACGGGAGGCAGCAGUGGGGAAUAUGGCACAAUGGGGGGAAGCGUGAUGCAGCAGCGCCGCGUGCGGGAUGACGGCCUUCGGGUUGUAAACCGCUUUCGCCUGUGACGAAGCGUGAGUGACGGUAAUGGGUAAAGAAGCACCGGCUAACUACGUG
rnacentral:rRNA from 1 species